AGGGAAUCUUCCACAAUGGACGAAAGUCUGAUGGAGCAACGCCGCGUGAGUGAUGAAGGGUUUCGGCUCGUAAAACUCUGUUGUUGGAGAAGAACGGGGUGUCAGAGUAACUGUUGACAUCGUGACGGUAUCCAACCAGAAAGCCACGGCUAACUACGUGCCAGCAGCCGCGGUAAUACGUAGGUGGCAAGCGUUGUCCGGAUUUAUUGGGCGUAAAGCGAGCGCAGGCGGUUUUUUAGGUCUGAUGUGAAAGCCUUCGGCUUAACCGGAGAAGUGCAUCGGAAACCGGGAGACUCGAGUGCAGAAGAGGACAGUG
rnacentral:rRNA from 1 species